UACAGAGGGGGCAAGCGUUGUUCGGAAUUACUGGGCGUAAAGGGCGCGUAGGCGGCCUUCUAAGUCAGACGUGAAAUCCCUCGGCUCAACCGGGGAACUGCGUCUGAGACUGGAAGGCUUGAAUCCGGGAGAGGGAUGUGGAAUUCCAGGUGUAGCGGUGAAAUGCGUAGAUAUCUGGAGGAACACCGGUGGCGAAGGCGGCAUCCUGGACCGGUAUUGACGCUGAGGCGCGAAAGCCAGGGGAGCAAACAGG
rnacentral:rRNA from 1 species